GGCGACUGGGUAGGUAGCAGAUCCAAGUCUCUAAGAGCUUAUCCGAUCCAUUUUAGCAUGGGCCUUUUGCAUUCGUAUGUACUCACGUUCAUAUAUGGUGCCGGCCGCCCAGCUAUAAAUAGACGGCAAGCUAAGGGCAAUGCCGCACUGGGCACAUAACAAUACAUGCAUGUACAAAGAUCUGAAUAAUAAUGGGUUCGCUCCGUGAUGGCAAGACCAACAGCAGCAGUGGCCGGCGGUGGUGCGCGGUGACCGGCGGCCGGGGCUUCAUGGCGAGGCACCUGGUGGCCGCGCUGCUGCGCUCCGGCGAGUGGCUUGUGCGGGUCACCGACCUCGCCCCGGAUGUCGUGCUCGGCCUCGGCGACACCGAGGACGUCCUCGAUGACGCCCUCCGUGAUGGCCGCGCCGUCUAUGCCUCAGCGGAUGUCUGCAACCUAGACCAGCUUAUUCAAGCUUUUGAAGGGGUUGAGGUUGUUUUCCACACAGCUGCUGCGGAUCCAAGCAAGAACGACCAGCAACUUCACUAUAAGGUCAACGUUGAGGGGACAAAGAACGUGGUUGAUGCGUGCAUGAUUUGCAAGGUGAAAAGGCUUAUCCACACCAGCUCUAUUGCUGUUGUGUUCGACGGAGUUAAUGGGCUUCUCGAUGCAAAUGAAUCAUUGCCAUACCCAGACAAGUUUCCUGAUGCGUAUGGACAAACAAAGGCAGAAGCAGAAAAGAUAGUCAUGAAGGCUAAUGGCAUUAGUGGCCUUCUAACUUGUUGCAUACGUCCUGGUAGCAUUUUUGGCCCUGGUGACAUAGUUAUACUACCAACUCUGGACCAAUGUGGAAAAACACACUUUGUUUUUGGUGAUGGGAAGAAUUGUGAUGAUUUUGUAUAUGUUGAAAAUGUGGUACAUGGCCACAUUUGUGCUGAAAAAACUCUUUCUACAAUGGAAGGCGCAAAAACCAGUGGUGGAAAAGCCUACUUUAUAACCAAUACGGAACCAAUGAACAUGUGGGACUUUCUAUAUCUGCUUCAAGAAGAACUUGGAUACAAAAGGUUGUUCAAGAUAAGAAUACCUUUGAUUGUCAUCCAGGCAGUAAGCUAUUUGGUAGAGUGGGGAUACAAGGUUCUACACCAUUAUGGAAUGUGCCAGCCUCAAGUGCUAACACCAGCAAGGAUCAAGUAUCUGACAGUUCAUAGAACAUUCAGUUGUAACAAAGCUGCUGAAGAACUUGGCUACAAACCAAUUGUGACACUUAUGGAUGGUAUGAAGCUAGCAGUCAAAUCAUAUAUUCGGUUGAGAAAUCAUGCAGAUUUAUCUUACAAACAUAUAUAAAAGAUUAUCAUUAUGGCAUAGGAUGCCUCAUGCUGACGAUAUACAACAGCUUUUGAGAAUUGUCAUAAGCGAAGUAUACAGGGAAAGUUAUACCACCAUAAACUACUAAGAUGCCUCCGAGUAUCCUGAUAAAGUGGUUGGAGCCCGACUGCCGCCAAACCCCUUCCCUGGGACCUGCAAUGGCCCCAACAAAGGCAGGUGUCCAUCAUUCCAGGGAGCUCAAUCGUAGAGCCCCAAAGGGUAAAAGCUAUUCUAGCCAACACGUCCAAAGGAUCAGCCUAAGACCCUGAAGCCCUGGAGUGCUCUAGGCUAUGGGACAUUCCCACAUUUAACUUUUGAUCACCACAAUUUAGGUGGUGUUUGGCUCGCCAAAAUGUAACGUAAAUAGAUUACAUGGAUAAUAGAUAACGAUACUUUUGUUU